UACGAAGGGGGCUAGCGUUGUCCGGAAUUAUUGGGCGUAAAGAGCUCGUAGGCGGUUCGUCGCGUCGGCUGUGAAAACCUGAGGCUCAACCUCAGGCCUGCAGUCGAUACGGGCGGACUUGAGUACUGCAGGGGAGACUGGAAUUCCUGGUGUAGCGGUGAAAUGCGCAGAUAUCAGGAGGAACACCAAUAGCGAAGGCAGCUCGCUGGGACGUUACUGACGCUGAGGCGCGAAAGCGUGGGGAGCGAACAGG
rnacentral:rRNA from 1 species